GCACUUUUGGCAGGAAAGAAAUCGCACGGUUUAAUACGCCGUGUGGAUGACGGUACCUGCAGAAUAAGCACCGGCUAACUACGUGCCAGCAGCCGCGGUAAUACGUAGGGUGCAAGCGUUAAUCGGAAUUACUGGGCGUAAAGCGUGCGCAGGCGGUUCGGAAAGAAAGAUGUGAAAUCCCAGGGCUUAACCUUGGAACUGCAUUUUUAACUCCCGAGCUAGAGUAUGUCAGAGGGGGGUGGAAUUCCGCGUGUAGCAGUGAAAUGCGUAGAUAUGCGGAGGAACACCGAUGGCGAAGGCAGCCCCCUGGGAUAAUACUGACGCUCAUGCACGAAAGCGUGGGGAGCAAACAGGAUUAGAUACCCUGGUAGUCCACGCCCUAAACGAUGUC
rnacentral:rRNA from 1 species